AUUGAACGCUGGCGGCAGGCCUAACACAUGCAAGUCGAGCGGAUGAAGGGAGCUUGCUCCUGGAUUCAGCGGCGGACGGGUGUGUAAUGCCUAGGAAUCUGCCUGGUAGUGGGGGAUAACGUCCGGAAACGGGCGCUAAUACUGCAUACGUCCUGCGGGAGCAAGUGGGGGAUCUUCGGAACUCAUGCUAUCAGAUGAGCCUAGGUCGGAUUAGCUAGUUGGUGGGGUAAAGGCCUACCAAGGAGACGAUCCGUAACUGGUCUGAGAGGAUGAUCAGUCACACUGGAACUGAGGCACGGUCCAGACUCCUACGGGAGGCAGCAGUGGGGAAUAGUGGACAAUGGGCGAAAGCCUGAUCCAGCCAUGCCGCGUGUGUGAAGAAGGUCUUCGGAUUGUAAAGCACUUUAAGUUGGGAGGAAGGGCAGUAAGUUAAUACCUUGCUGUUUUGACGGUACCAACAGAAUAAGCACCGGCUAACUUCGUG
rnacentral:rRNA from 1 species